UUCUAUUUCUUUCUUCCUUCUUUUCUGAAAUCAAUAAAAAUAUAUUAAAAAAAUAAAAAUAUCUAUUGGUUGAUAAAACCAAAGCUGCCUUUAAUAUUAAGUGCAUCUAAGCACGUGGGAUGAUAUAUGUAUUAUCAGACUAAACUCCAUUAUACAUACCGUCAGCUCUACUGACACCACGUGGCAAGGUUUCUAACUGCUGAGCAAUGUUUCCAAAAUAUUGUAGACCUGGUCAAACAUAGAACUGGAAAGCAAAAGGGAAAUAAAGCAGUUCUCCCAUCUAUCCCAAACCCAGUCUCAGCUGAUGACCAUUUUUGCCCCUCGCAUUUGAAAGAAAACAGUGGCAGUGAAGGGAACACCUUCCGGUGUGCCCACCCACACCAUCCAUCACCCAUCACCACCUUCCGCCAAAUAGGUGCACCCAUCCUUCCAUCUGCCCGUAAAAGAUGAAGCGCCCCUUACUCACUGCCAAACUCCUCUAGGCUGUGAAGAAGCAGAGCCCCUUCCUACUCCAUCCAAAAAAGGGCCCAGACCAGGAAGUACAGGCCGAAGGGGAAAGAAAGGUCUCCUCAGCCGUGAUGACAUCACUGACAUGCUGAGCCAAGAUAAUGAGGAGAAUACAAUUCCCACUGAAGCCACCUCAGCUGAGGCUCAGAGCACUCCUAGCUGAUCCGGCCGACCAGGGGCUUUCUUCCCUUCUUGUCUCAUCCUGUUCUUAUCAGAAGACGGUCCCCGAGGAUGGCACCGAUACUAAUCUUUCCAUCAUCUUCCUUUUAAUCUAGUCUGACACAGUAGCCUUUACCUUUUACUUACGGACUUUAACUAUAUCUUCCUUGCACUAAAUAGCACUAAACAAAUUAAAUAUACACCUUUAAAAAAUUAA